rnacentral:rRNA from 1 species
GAUGAACGCUGGCGGCGUGCCUAAUACAUGCAAGUCGAGCGAACGGACGAGAAGCUUGCUUCUCUGAUGUUAGCGGCGGACGGGUGAGUAACACGUGGAUAACCUACCUAUAAGACUGGGAUAACUUCGGGAAACCGGAGCUAAUACCGGAUGAUAUUUUGAACCGCAUGGUUCAAAAGUGAAAGACGGUCUUGCUGUCACUUAUAGAUGGAUCCGCGCUGCAUUAGCUAGUUGGUAAGGUAACGGCUUACCAAGGCAACGAUGCAUAGCCGACCUGAGAGGGUGAUCGGCCACACUGGAACUUAGACACGGUCCAGACUCCUACGGGAGGCAGCAGUAGGGAAUCUUCCGCAAUGGGCGAAAGCCUGACGGAGCAACGCCGCGUGAGUGAUGACGGUCUUCGGAUCGUAAAACUCUGUUAUUAGGGAAGAACAUAUGUGUAAGUAACUGUGCACAUCUUGACGGUACCUAAUCAGAAAGCCACGGCUAACUACGUG